rnacentral:rRNA from 1 species
UACGUAGGGUGCGAGCGUUAUCCGGAAUUAUUGGGCGUAAAGAGCUCGUAGGCGGUUUGUCGCGUCUGUCGUGAAGGUCCGGGGCUUAACCCCGGAUCUGCGGUGGGUACGGGCAGACUAGAGCUCCCACUAGGGGAGACUGGAAUUCCUGGUGUAGCGGUGGAAUGCGCAGAUAUCAGGAGGAACACCGAUGGCGAAGGCUAUAUAACAUCCUGGGCGGUAACUGACGCUGAGGAGCGAAAGCAU